AUACGGAGGGUGCGAGCGUUAAUCGGAAUUACUGGGCGUAAAGGGUCCGUAGGCGGUCUGCUUAGUCUGAUGUGAAAGCCCCGGGCUUAACCUGGGAAUGGCAUUGGAUACUGGCGGACUAGAGUCUGGUAGAGGGUGGUGGAAUUCCCGGUGUAGCUGUGAAAUGCGUAGAUAUCGGGAGGAACACCAGUGGCGAAGGCGGCCACCUGGACCAAGACUGACGCUGAGGGACGAAAGCGUGGGGAGCAAACAGGAUUAGAUACCCUAGUAGUCC
rnacentral:rRNA from 1 species